GGCGAGAUGGCUCAGUGAGUAAGAGCACUGACUGUUCUUCCAGAGGUCCUGAGUUCAAAUCCCAGCAACCACA
rnacentral:tRNA from 1 species